UCACCUCUUUCACAAACCAACUCAUCUCUAUCCUUUUCUUGGUUUUUCUCUGAAAGUUUAAUGGAGAUCAAGUCUGCUUUUUGACUUCCUCUCUCAUCUCUUUCAUUAUUUUCUCUCAAUCGACCUUCAUCGUCUUCUUCUGCAAUUUUUUCAGUUCCGGAAGGUGGAGUAGGAUUCAAUACCCUCAAACAAAUAAUCGAUUUCAAUGGUAGCAUGUGUUUUUAGUAUGUCUUCUCCCGACUAAUUUGAUCACUUCAACUGGUUCCUAUUGACGGUGUGGUGGUGGUGAUGGAGGUGAAGAUGACUCGGUUUUCUAAUAAGAUUUCUCAUUACAUUGCUUGUAUUUUUGUGAGUGUGGUUUUGGUUGAUUCUAGGUAAUUCAUUCUUAUGUUCCAUGACAUGAGCUUUUGAUAGGGCAAGAAACUGAAGGUGGUAACUGGUUAUCAAGAAUUGAGGGUUUGGUUGUAUGCAGAAUUUUGUUAUUUGUGAUGCUUUAAUUUAUUUAUUUUUGUUGGGUGUUGGUGAUCUGAUCUAAUUUUUCUUUUCUUGUUGAUUUUGAAGAUGAGGAGGAAUAUUUUUGAAGGACCUUAUGGAAGGGGGAUGUGUUUGUUUUCCUGAAGUGGUCAAAUACAGGGAUUGAAUUAUUGGUGAUGGAUUUGCUGCUAGUGGUGGAACUAUGAUUACUUAGGUGACUUCUAUGAUGGAAAAAUAUAAGAACUAUGACUUCUUGAGAUGUAAUAAAGUUUAUUCACAUGGACAAUCGAGCAUUCCAGUUGGACAAUCAUACAUUCCUCGGUCAAGUAUAGUGAAAAUCAACUAUCCCAACUUAAGGCUGCUGGAGACAUGAUGAUGGGAUAUUGAGUUUGAAAGGGGAAGACCGAUUUAGCUGCGCGCCUUAUUAACCAGUAGAAGAACAAGUACGACACAUUUAAAGCACUGUUGUGAUGUAAGUUUCACCUACAUAGACAUUAUGCAACUGCAUAAGUAUGAUACAAAGGUGAUAACUGAUCACUUAUGUUUACUUGUUACAAUUCAAAUUCUAUCGCGGUUCUGUCGUACACUUUAAACUGGUUACACAUUUGCAGAUCUCUUGGAGUGUUGGUGCUAAAAAUUUUCCACUUGUAACUAGAAAUUGCCCAUGCAAUAGAAAUAAUCCAAUUCAGAUUCAAUUUCGUUAGUUCAUUGUGACGUAUGGUUGCUAUAACCAAGUGUAUUGGUGCAGCUGAUGCAGAACAUAUUAAAGUCAAAUGAGUUGUUUAACUUGCAUGUUUUCCAUAAAUGGUUUCCGGUAACAUUUUCAUAUUGAUGAGUACCUUGAAUUGUUUCCUUAACUGCAGAAUAAGGUGUCACGUUCAUCGUUACAACUUUUUUUAUUCAUGACUCUUACCUAUCCUUAAAUUUAAAAUUGUUGUAUGUUGAUAUGUAGGUUCCAUUGAUGUCCUGGUUACUUUUGGGGAUUACACCAUAAUGAGAGGCAUGGAAGUCUCAAGAGUAGAGAGGUUUAGUUUUUCGGUGGAAAUUAAAUUGUAGUGGACUUACUUUAUAUAAAUAUUUACUAGCUCGUCGACUAAUUGGGGGUCUUUAUUCUUGCAACAAUCUUUAUAAUACUGAACGGAAUCAUUCCACUUUACUUUGAAAGGCUCUCGAGAGUAUAACAUACUUGCUUCCAUUUGAGAAUGGAUAAUCAUAAGAUGAAUAUUUCUUCGAAUGUAUGCUACCUGGUUAGAAAGAUGAGCAGGAGAAUUGUCCAAAAUGACGUUUUAACCCAUUAGUUAGUUCAAGGAAAUGUGGAAUUUCAAUACAACAUGGUAGAUUUAGCUUACACUUAGGCUAUAUUAACCUUUGAAUGAGAAUAUAUUUUCAAGUUUGUUGCAAACACAAUUUUAAUACAUUAAAGGAAAAAUAUAUUUUUCAUGUACGCAUUUUGGUUUGUUCUUUUAAUGGUGAAUAAUGAUGAGAUAGACUGAUUGUUUCUGAAAUCAUUGUGUA